GUCCGGUGCGCCCCCGGCGG
rnacentral:snRNA from 1 species